rnacentral:ncRNA from 1 species
UUUUCCGCGACGCAUAAAGCUUUAAAGGACUUGGGGAAAUUACUCUCCCCACCCAAACCCGACCCCGCCCCGCUCUCGUCACUCACUCGGGUGACACAGGGCAACUGGGCUGGAUUUCACGCGGGUUGGCUGGCAUAUGCUCGCCGCGACAACUCCAGACAUGCGACGGCCCCCGACCGAGAUUCACAGUCUCAACCGGGGGCCUGACCACCGAGGAAGAAGAGACCUUCCCG